CCCUUAGAUGUUCUGGGCCGCACGCGCGCUACACUGUUCGACGCAGCGAGUCUUAACCUUGACCGAAAGGUUUGGGUAAUCUUCAGCAAAGUCGAACGUGAUGGGGAUCGAUCAUUGCAAUUAUUGAUCGUGAACGAGGAAUUCCUAGUAAGUGCAAGUCAUCAGCUUGCGCUGAUUACGUCCCUGCCCUUUGUACACACCGCCCGUCGCCACUACCGAUUGAAUGGUUUAGUGAGAUCUCUGGAUUGACGCUGGCUAGGGGGCGACCCUUGGCCAGGCUGUCGAGAAACUGCUCAAACUUGAUCAUUUAGAGGAAGUAAAAGUCGUAACA
rnacentral:rRNA from 1 species